UUAAGUUCAGCGGGUAGUCCUACCUGAUUUGAGGUCAAAUUGUCAUGUAUUGUCUGAAUCAACAGAUGGUUAGAAGCAGUGCAAAACCCAUUGUAGACAUCCACGGCGUAGAUAAUUAUCACACCGAAUAGACAGUCCACGCGGGGCACCGGCUAAUGCAAUUAAGGGGAGCCGACCUCCAAAGAGAGCCAGCAAAAGAA
rnacentral:misc_RNA from 1 species